GGAGGGAGUUAAAGGCAGUGGAGCAAACAAAGCAAGAAAAAAGUACUGAUGAAAAGUGCAGAGGAGAGCAAAGUAUUUGGACCACCUGAAGCUAUGACAAACGAGGAGGUUCUGUAUCUCCUUUUGGACCUGGCGGAGCCCCGGACAUCUGGGAAGCCAAAAGGCCGAGGUUUUCCAAAGAGCAGCGUGGAGAGGAUGCAGAAGCUGGGGCGCAGGAAGGCUGAUCCUGUCAUGUGAAGUUGGCAGUCUGCAUGAGUGUGGGACAUGCGGAGGAGCUUGGAGCUGGGAGAAAUGGAGCCCUGAGGAGAGCUCUAUGCUUUUUCUGGGCUCUAGCCAGCACCAACUUGCAAACAGGUGCCAGCGCCAACUCCCAACACCCUUCCGGUUAGAAAGCUACCGUUUAAAAGGCACACACUGCUCGGAGUCGGGGCGGGUUUGAGGUGCUCGUGGGAGAUGCUUCUCUGAGACUUACUCUUCUAUAUAAAAUAAAACAUCAGGACUUGGCAAUUCUAGGUUCUUCCAGCCUUUAAUACGCACAUGGUUUCUAUACACAGAUAUCGACAAUGAGAUGCCACACGUGGAGGCUUUUAAGGAAAGAAAGAAUUCUUUCUGCAAACUUCAGCCAAAUGCAUGCCUGACUAACCCGGGGAAAGCGGAGGGCUGGUGUGGCCUCGGAGC